UACGUAGGGGGCUAGCGUUGUCCGGAUUUAUUGGGCGUAAAGGGCUCGUAGGCGGCCAACUAAGUCAGACGUGAAAUCCCUCGGCUUAACCGGGGAACUGCGUCUGAUACUGGAUGGCUAGAGUUUGGGAGAGGGAUGCGGAAUUCCAGGUGUAGCGGUGAAAUGCGUAGAUAUCUGGAGGAACACCGGUGGCGAAGGCGGCAUCCUGGACCAACACUGACGCUGAGGAGCGAAAGCCAGGGGAGCAAACGGG
rnacentral:rRNA from 1 species